GUGGGGAAUCUUGCGCAAUGGGCGAAAGCCUGACGCAGCCAUGCCGCGUGAAUGAUGAAGGUCUUAGGAUUGUAAAAUUCUUUCACCGGGGACGAUAAUGACGGUACCCGGAGAAGAAGCCCCGGCUAACUUCGUGCCAGCAGCCGCGGUAAUACGAAGGGGGCUAGCGUUGCUCGGAAUUACUGGGCGUAAAGGGCGCGUAGGCGGACAGCUUAGUCAGAGGUGAAAGCCCAGGGCUCAACCUUGGAAUUGCCUUUGAUACUGACUGUCUUGAGUUUGGGAGAGGUGAGUGGAACUCCGAGUGUAGAGGUGAAAUUCGUAGAUAUUCGGAAGAACACCAGUGGCGAAGGCGACUCACUGGCCCAAUACUGACGCUGAGGCGCGAAAGCGUGGGGAGCAAACAGGAUUAGAAACCCGUGUAGUCC
rnacentral:rRNA from 1 species